AAAUUAAGAAGUAAUGAAAGAAGUAAUAUGAAAGAGGUUAGUGUUGAAAUUCUGAAUCUGGAAAAAGCUGAAGUAAAAUUCGAAGGCAUUGGUGAACUUGGUGAGUGUGAUUGUUGGGGUGAGUUUGAAAGAGGAUUGGUAUGGCCCGUGUUAGAAGGGGUAACUGCGACAACGAAGGCUGGCACAUGGACUAUUUCUUUUUUGUUUAAUGGCCUAAUUUGUUGGGUUCGCUGCGGGAAGUUUAUAUGCGCAUUUAUCAACCCCUGCUUGCUUGUUGCUAUUGGUUCACUAAGG